CAUGUCCUUUAGAAUUUAAUUUAAGGUCUAGCCUGCCCACUGAAAUUAAUUUUAAAUGGCCGCAGUAAUUUGACUGUGCAAAGGUAGCAUAAUCAUUAGUUUUUUAAUUGAAAGCUUGUAUGAAAGGUUGGACGAGGUAAAAUCUGUCUCUAAUUAAUUUAAUUUAGAAUUUAACUUUUAAGUUAAAAGGCUUAAAUAUGAUUAAAAGACGAGAAGACCCUAUAGAUCUUUAUAAUUUAUUUAUUAAAUUUAAUUAAGAAUUUUUAAAAUUUUAUUAAUUUAAUUAUUUUAUUGGGGUAAUGUAAAGAUUAAAUUAAUUCUUUUUUUUUAUUAACAUUAAUUUAUGAUUUUAUGAUCCAAUUUUAUUGGCUAUAAGAUUAAGUUACCUUAGGGAUAACAGCGUUAUUUUUUUAGAGAGUUCUUAUCGAUAAAAAAGUUUACGACCUCGAUGUUGGAUUAAAGAUUAUUUUAGGCGCAGAAGUUUAAAAAUUUUGGUCUGUUCGACCAUUAAAUCUUUACAUGAUCUGAGUUCAGACCGGUGUAAGCCAGGUCGGUUUCUAUCUUUAGUAAAUUAAAAUAUUUUAGUACGAAAGGACCAAUUAUUUAAUAUAAAAUAUUUAAAUUUUGAUUAUUAUU
rnacentral:rRNA from 1 species